rfam:Oryza sativa Japonica Group DNA, chromosome 2, cultivar: Nipponbare, complete sequence.
UCUUCGUCCUAAAAUAUAACAAUGUAUUAAAUGUGAUGUCCAUCUUAUUUAAAAGAAUUUUGUGAUUAGUAUUUUUAUUAUUAUUAGAUGAUAAAACAUGAUUAGUACUUGAUGUGUAACUAUUUUUUUAUAAAAAAAAUCAUAAAUAUUUCAAAUUAGAUAAACGGACAGUCAAAUGUUGGACACGGAAACCCACAACUGUACUUAAA